rnacentral:rRNA from 1 species
GUGGGGAAUAUUGGACAAUGGGCGAAAGCCUGAUCCAGCCAUGCCGCGUGUGUGAAGAAGGUCUUCGGAUUGUAAAGCACUUUAAGUUGGGAGGAAGGGCAGUAAGUUAAUACCUUGCUGUUUUGACGUUACCGACAGAAUAAGCACCGGCUAACUUCGUGCCAGCAGCCGCGGUAAUACGAAGGGUGCAAGCGUUAAUCGGAAUUACUGGGCGUAAAGCGCGCGUAGGUGGUUUUGUAAGUUGGAGGUGAAAUCCCCGGGCUCAACCUGGAAACUGCCUCCAAAACUGCAUGACUAGAGUACGGUAGAGGGUAGUGGAAUUUCCUGUGUAGCGGUGAAAUGCGUAGAUAUAGGAAGGAACACCAGUGGCGAAUGCGACUACCUGGACUGAUACUGACACUGAGGUGCGAAAGCGUGGGGAGCAAACAGGAUUAGAUACCCCUGUAGUCC